CAUACAUAUCCAGGAUUGUAAUUUGGUUGAAGUUUGAUACCUUGGUAAGUAUGACUACAAAAUCUGUCAAAAACAGGGGCUGCAGUUUCAGUUUUGAAACACUUACUUUGGACUGCCUUAUCUUAAAAAUUAGAGCACCGUUUCUAUCAAAUUUUAUAUGGUUUCAAAGUUUAUUUAAUCAACUUCAGGAUGCAUGUAAAUUGGCAGAUUUUUAUUGAGUUUAGGAUGUUUAAUUCUGAGUUCAAAGUUUAAUACACAGUAGCUGAAACUGUGUUAGUUUCUCUGAUGGUGCAGGAGCAACAACAGUUUCCUAAAAGCUCAUGUCAAGACAUAAGUUGGUGGUUCAAUUGAUGAAUGUCAAGGAUCUUAGCAUAGCUCACGUCAAGAGUAAUCUUCAACUUUGAUUAAAUGUAUAGGAGCCAGAAGAUGGAAGACUCCGAUCAAGCUGUUGUAGCAUGGGAAUCAGGGACGCCAAUGGUGAUUGAAGGUUUAUAAAGAGCCAUCCAUGUAUGAUAAAUUUUUAAUGACACUAGGGUCUAGUAAAUAUGUAAUAAUUUUAAAUGUAUUCAUACAUUUAAGUAUAUGGUUGUAUUUUAAAUUAUUGUAUAUAGUUGUAUCGUUCUAGUGGAUGUACAAUUUCUAAUU